rnacentral:rRNA from 1 species
GUCGAGCGGAACGAGUUAUCUGAACCUUCGGGGAACGAUAACGGCGUCGAGCGGCGGACGGGUGAGUAAUGCCUAGGAAAUUGCCCUGAUGUGGGGGAUAACCAUUGGAAACGAUGGCUAAUACCGCAUAAUGCCUACGGGCCAAAGAGGGGGACCUUCGGGCCUCUCGCGUCAGGAUAUGCCUAGGUGGGGUUAGCUAGUUGGUGAGGUAAGGGCUCACCAAGGCGACGAUCCCUAGCUGGUCUGAGAGGAUGAUCAGCCACACUGGAACUGAGACACGGUCCAGACUCCUACGGGAGGCAGCAGUGGGGAAUAUUGCACAAUGGGCGCAAGCCUGAUGCAGCCAUGCCGCGUGUGUGAAGAAGGCCUUCGGGUUGUAAAGCACUUUCAGUCGUGAAGAAGGUAGUGUAGUUAAUAGCUGCAUUAUUUGACGUUAGCGACAGAAGAAGCACCGGCUAACUCCGUGCCAGCAGCCGCGGUAAUACGGAGGGUGCGAGCGUUAAUCGGAAUUACUGGGCGUAAAGCGCAUGCAGGUGGUUUGUUAAGUCAGACGUGAAAGCCCGGGGCUCAACCUCGGAAUUGCAUUUGAAACUGGCAGACUAGAGUACUGUAGAGGGGGGUAGAAUUUCAGGUGUAGCGGUGAAAUGCGUAGAGAUCUGAAGGAAUACCGGUGGCGAAGGCGGCCCCCUGGACAGAUACUGACACUCAGAUGCGAAAGCGUGGGGAGCAAACAGGAUUAGAUACCCUGGUAGUCCACGCCGUAAACGAUGUCUACUAGGAGGUUGUGGCCUUGAGCCGUGGCUUUCGGAGCUAACGCGUUAAGUAGACCGCCUGGGGAGUACGGUCGCAAGAUUAAAACUCAAAUGAAUUGACGGGGGCCCGCACAAGCGGUGGAGCAUGUGGUUUAAUUCGAUGCAACGCGAAGAACCUUACCUACUCUUGACAUCCAGAGAACUUUCCAGAGAUGGAUUGGUGCCUUCGGGAACUCUGAGACAGGUGCUGCAUGGCUGUCGUCAGCUCGUGUUGUGAAAUGUUGGGUUAAGUCCCGCAACGAGCGCAACCCUUAUCCUUGUUUGC